AAAAAUCACUAAGACAAGGGAUUUCCUUGGUGGUCCACUGGGUAAGACUCUAUGCUCCAAAUCCAGGGGGCCCAGGUUCGAUCCCUGGUUGGGGAACUAAAUCCCACAUGCAUGCUGCAACCGAGAGUUUGCAUGCCGCA